rnacentral:rRNA from 1 species
GACGAACGCUGGCGGCGUGCUUAACACAUGCAAGUCGAACGAUGAAGCCUAGCUUGCUAGGUGGAUUAGUGGCGAACGGGUGAGUAAUACGUGAGUAACCUACCUUUAACUCUGGGAUAAGCCUGGGAAACUGGGUCUAAUACCGGAUACGACCAAUCUCCGCAUGGGGUGUUGGUGGAAAGCGUUAUGUAGUGGUUAUAGAUGGGCUCACGGCCUAUCAGCUUGUUGGUGAGGUAACGGCUCACCAAGGCGACGACGGGUAGCCGGCCUGAGAGGGUGACCGGCCACACUGGGACUGAGACACGGCCCAGACUCCUACGGGAGGCAGCAGUGGGGAAUAUUGCACAAUGGGCGCAAGCCUGAUGCAGCGACGCCGCGUGAGGGAUGACGGCCUUCGGGUUGUAAACCUCUGUUAGCAGGGAAGAGGAGAAAUUGACGGUACCUGCAGAGAAAGCGCCGGCUAACUACGUGCCAGCAGCCGCGGUAAUACGUAGGGCGCGAGCGUUGUCCGGAAUUAUUGGGCGUAAAGAGCUUGUAGGCGGUUUGUCGCGUCUGCUGUGAAAGGCCGGGGCUUAACCCCGUGUAUUGCAGUGGGUACGGGCAGACUAGAGUGCAGUAGGGGAGACUGGAAUUCCUGGUGUAGCGGUGGAAUGCGCAGAUAUCAGGAGGAACACCGAUGGCGAAGGCAGGUCUCUGGGCUGUAACUGACGCUGAGAAGCGAAAGCAUGGGGAGCGAACAUG